AAUAUUUUCAUGUCCGACCCCAUGAUCUCAUCUACGAGUCAAAAUCAAUAGUUAUCGAUCGAGUAAUACAGCAAAAAAUUUGCUUGCAACCGACAGACAGAUUUAAAUAUUUACAAGCUGCAGCACGGAACAUCUUCCAGAAGGGGGGAUCUUCUGUGAACUGAAGUUCUUUAAGUUAAGUUAAGAAGUUUAGUUGCAAAAUUUCAAAAUUAAAUUGUUUCUGUAGUUUUGAUGAGAACCACGAGUUUGUUAAGCAACAUUGAUAAUUUUGGGUAAAUGGUUUCUGUCAAACAAUGCAGAAACAUGUCAAAUUCACAUUUUGUCUUUUGCAAAGUGUUUGAAAGUUGACUUUUGAGGUUGACUUACAAAUCUUGGAAUGACGUCCAAACUGAGGACAAUAUUUUUAGGUGGAAGUUUGAAUUAUGGCUGAAGAAUUUGAACUUGAGCAGUGUAUUUUAGGACAAACGCGUCUUAUAACCUGUUAAACAGUUCUACAAUGUUAGUCAGGGGCAAAUAAUGGAAUUCCUAGUCUCUGAUGUUGUAGCCUAAAAGAAGUCGACUCUUUUUCCUCUCUUACUACAAUAAACGCGUAAUAUGUU